UACGGGGGGAGCAAACGUUGUUCGGAAUCACUGGGCGUAAAGGGCGUGUAGGCGGCUGAAUGAGUGGGAUGUUAAAUCCCCCGGCUCAACCGGGGAACUGCAUCUCAUACUGUUCAGCUUGGGGUACAGCAGAGGAGACUGGAAUUCCAGGUGUAGCGGUGAAAUGCGUAGAUAUCAGGAGGAACACCGGUGGUGAGACGGCUCAGCUGGACCAUAACUGACGCUGAGACACGAAAGCGUGGGUAGCAAACAGG
rnacentral:rRNA from 1 species